CACAUAAAACGUGUUGUAUGCCA
rnacentral:siRNA from 1 species